GGGGAUAACAGUCAGAAAUGACUGCUAAUACCGCAUAAGCGCACAGGACCGCAUGAUCCAGUGUGAAAAACUCCGGUGGUACAAGAUGGACCCGCGUUGGAUUAGCCAGUUGGCAGGGUAACGGCUUACCAAAGCGACGAUCCAUAGCCGGCCUGAGAGAGUGGACGGCCACAUUGGGACUGAGACACGGCCCAGACUCCUACGGGAGGCAGCAGUGGGGAAUAUUGCACAAUGGGGGAAACCCUGAUGCAGCGACGCCGCGUGAAGGAAGAAGUAUCUCGGUAUGUAAAGUUCUAUCAGCAGGGAAGAAAAUGACGGUACCUGACUAAGAAGCCCCGGCUAACUACGUGCCAGCAGCCGCGGUAAUACGUGGGGGGCAAGCGUUAUCCGGAUUUACUGGGUGUAAAGGGAGCGUAGACGGUAGCAGCAAGUCUGAUGUGAAAACCGGGGGCUCAACUCCCCGGACUGCAUUGGAAACUGUCGAUCUUGAGUACCGGAGAGGUAAGCGGAAUUCCUAGUGUAGCGGUGAAAUGCGUAGAUAUUAGGAGGAACACCAGUGGCGAAGGCGGCUUACUGGACUGUAACUGACGUUGAGGCUCGAAAGCGUGGGG
rnacentral:rRNA from 1 species